AGCCUUAGGAAAGGAUCUUAGGUUUUACCUGCCCAAUGUGUAAUUAUCAAUGGCCGCGGUACUUUGACCGUGCUAAGGUAGCGCAAUCAAUUGGCUCUUAAUUGGGGUCAGGAAUGAAUGGAGUUAACGGGGUUCAGCUGUCUCUUAACUAAUUACUUGAAGUUACUAUGUAGGUGAAAAAGCCUGUACAUAGAAAAAGGACGAGAAGACCCUUAGAGUUUUGCUUAAUUUGAGCGUUAAUUAGGGGUUGCUCAAUAAUGGUUUAGUUGGGGCAACAUAGGAGCAAUAUCGAAAUAAUCUCCUAAAUUUUAUUAACCGAUAAUUUUAAAGAUGAAUAAACUACCUUAGGGAUAACAGCAUAAUUUUAAAAAUAAGUUUGUGACCUCGAUGUUGGACUAGGAAACUUAAAGGCUAGCCGUCUUUAAGGGAAGUUCUGUUCGAACUGUUUAUUCCU
rnacentral:rRNA from 1 species